GACGAACGCUGGCGGCGUGCCUAACACAUGCAAGUCGAACGAGUGGCGGACGGGUGAGUAAUGUCUGGGAAACUGCCCGAUGGAGGGGGAUAACUAUUGGAAACGAUAGCUAAUACCGCAUACUGUGAGAUGGACCUGCGUUGUAUUAGCUAGUUGGUGAGGUAAAGGCUCACCAAGGCGACGAUACAUAGCCGACCUGAGAGGAUGACCAGCCACACUGGAACUGAGACACGGUCCAGACUCCUACGGGAGGCAGCAGUGGGGAAUAUUGCACAAUGGGCGCAAGCCUGAUGCAGCCAUGCCGCGUGUAUGAAGAAGGCCUUCGGGUUGUAAAGUACUUUCAGCGAGGAGGCGUUACUCGCAGAAGAAGCACCGGCUAACUCCGUGCCAGCAGCCGCGGUAAUUC
rnacentral:rRNA from 1 species